rnacentral:rRNA from 1 species
GGCGGCCGCGGGAAUUCGAUUAGAGUUUGAUCAUGGCUCAGAUUGAACGCUGGCGGCAGGCCUAACACAUGCAAGUCGAGCGGUAGAGAGAAGCUUGCUUCUCUUGAGAGCGGCGGACGGGUGAGUAAUGCCUAGGAAUCUGCCUGGUAGUGGGGGAUAACGUUCGGAAACGGACGCUAAUACCGCAUACGUCCUACGGGAGAAAGCAGGGGACCUUCGGGCCUUGCGCUAUCAGAUGAGCCUAGGUCGGAUUAGCUAGUUGGUGGGGUAAUGGCUCACCAAGGCGACGAUCCGUAACUGGUCUGAGAGGAUGAUCAGUCACACUGGAACUGAGACACGGUCCAGACUCCUACGGGAGGCAGCAGUGGGGAAUAUUGGACAAUGGGCGAAAGCCUGAUCCAGCCAUGCCGCGUGUGUGAAGAAGGUCUUCGGAUUGUAAAGCACUUUAAGUUGGGAGGAAGGGCAGUAAAUUAAUACUUUGCUGUUUUGACGUUACCGACAGAAUAAGCACCGGCUAACUCUGUGCCAGCAGCCGCGGUAAUACGAAUCACUAGUGAAUUCGCGGCCGCCUGCAGGUCGACCAUAUGGGAGAGCUCCCAA